rnacentral:rRNA from 1 species
CGCAAUGGGCGCAAGCCUGACGGAGCAAUGCCGCGUGAGUGAAGAAGGCCUUCGGGUUGUAAAACUCUGUCCUAGACGAAGAGAGAGUAUUGUAGUAACUGACAAUACUAGGACGGUAGACUAGGAGGAAGCCCCGGCUAACUAUGUGCCAGCAGCCGCGGUAAAACAUAGGGGGCAAGCGUUGUCCGGAAUCACUGGGCGUAAAGGGCGCGCAGGCGGUAAAUUAAGUCAGGUGUAAAAGUUCGGGGCUCAACCCCGUGAUUGCACCUGAUACUGAUAAACUAGAGUGUUGGAGAGGUAAGUGGAAUUCCUAGUGUAGCGGUGGAAUGCGUAGAUAUUAGGAGGAACACCAGUGGCGAAGGCGACUUACUGGCCAAUAACUGACGCUGAGGCGCGAAAGCGUGGGGAGCAAACAGGAUUAGAUACCCUGGUAGUCCACGCCGUAAACGAUGAGUACUAGGUGUUGGUUGUUUCGAAACAAUCGGUGCCGCAGUAACACAAUAAGUACUCCGCCUGGGGAGUACGGUCGCAGACUGAAACUCAAAGGAAUUGACGGGGCCCGCACAAGCGGUGGAACAUGUGGUUUAAUUCGACGCAACGCGAGAACCU